UCCGGCUUAUCACCGGCAGUUUUCUCAGAGUGCCCAGCCUUACCUGAUGGCAACAGAGAAUGAGGGUUGCGCUCGUUGCGGGACUUAACCCAACAUCUCACGACACGAGCUGACGACAGCCAUGCAGCACCUGUGCACCUCCCACCCGAAGUGAAAGAAAACAUUUCUGCUUUCUAUAGAGGGCAUGUCAAGACCUGGUAAGGUUCUUCGCGUUGCCUCGAAUUAAACCACAUGUUCCACCGCUUGUGCGGGUCCCCGUCAAUUUCUUUGAGUUUUAAUCUUGCGACCGUACUCCCCAGGCGGGGUGCUUAACGCGUUAGCUGCGCUACUCAGGAGUAACUCCCGAACAGCUAGCACCCAUCGUUUACAGCGUGGACUAC
rnacentral:misc_RNA from 1 species